ensembl:misc_RNA Metazoa_SRP Metazoan signal recognition particle RNA
GCUGGGCGUGGUGGCUCACGCCUGUAAUCCUAGCACUUUGGGAGGCUGAGGCAGGUGGAUCACCUGAGGCCAGGAGUUCAAGACCAGCCUGACCAACAUGGUGAAACCCUGUCUCUA